rnacentral:tRNA from 1 species
GGUUUUGUGGUGUAGUUAGUUAUCACACCAGUCUAACACACUGGUGGUCCCUGGUUCAAGCCUGGGCAAAAUCA